rnacentral:rRNA from 1 species
GAUGAACGCUGGCGGCGUGCCUAACACAUGCAAGUCGAACGAAGCACCUUUUAAGAUUCUUCGGAUGAUUGAUCGGUGACUGAGUGGCGGACGGGUGAGUAACGCGUGGGUAACCUGCCCUGUACAGGGGGAUAACAGUUGGAAACGGCUGCUAAUACCGCAUAAGCGCACGAGAGGACAUCCUCUUGUGUGAAAAACUCCGGUGGUACAGGAUGGGCCCGCGUCUGAUUAGCUGGUUGGCAGGGUAACGGCCUACCAAGGCGACGAUCAGUAGCCGGUCUGAGAGGAUGAACGGCCACAUUGGAACUGAGACACGGGCCAAACUCCUACGGGAGGCAGCAGUGGGGAAUAUUGCACAAUGGGGGAAACCCUGAUGCAGCAACGCCGCGUGAGUGAAGAAGUAUUUCGGUAUGUAAAGCCCUAUCAGCAGGGAAGAUAAUGACGGUACCUGACUAAGAAGCUCCGGCUAAAUACGUGCCAGCAGCCGCCGUAA